rnacentral:sRNA from 1 species
GCCAGGAACACUGAUGCAGACCUGCAGUCCCAGCUACGCCAGAGGCUGAGCAGGAUGGUUCCAGUCCAGGAGUUCUGACUGGAGCUGCACCAGGCUGACUGGGUGUCUGACUAAGUUGGUGGCAGUAUGGUGAUGUCCCAGGAGUGGUGAAUUGGCCCAAGCUGAAAAUGGAGCAGGUCA